CAUGCUCCGUCACUGGAAAAAAAGGGGUUGUUGGUGAAAAAGAAAGAGCCUUGACCUAGAAAAAGUGCAGCUAAUAAUUGACCAUGUCAAAAAGAGGCACCCAGGCAUCGGAGGCACUGAGAUCAAGGUCUGCAUGGCACAAAAGUUAAAAGAUCUGAGGAGACGAGCAGAAAGGAUGCCUGCUGCAGGAGACACAGAGGACUGAGACAACACACUUUCACAAACGCACACCCCACACACACACACACACACGUAUACACCUGCGUUUUAGAGGCUUUUUAUGUAUUUAUGUUUAAUUUUAAUUUGGUUUUGCUAUGUUUGUUUUGAACAUUCAAUUUGUAUUGCAUAUUUUG